rnacentral:lncRNA from 1 species
GCUAAAAUAAUAAACUUAAUAUUAGUAUAAACCUGCAUCCAUAAAUGCAUACAUAAUUAGGACUGUGUGUUAAUUUUCAUAUUUUCUUCUAUGUUCAAGGGAUAUUGUCAUCAGUAGGCCACACCCAUGUGAUGACUUCUAGCAAUCUAUGAUAAUGACACAAGGCACAGUUUUUCUUCCAGGGCAUUGAUUGAAACUCAAAACCUCCAUAAUAUUUAUAAGUAUUCAGAUUUUGGCAUCCCUUCAAGGCUGUAGCAGUAAUGGAUUCCUUUCGAUCUCAAACUCGAAAGAAAAGGCUGACUCCAAACCAGCUGAUGCUUUUGGAAACUAAUUUUAACUUCGAUAGCAAGCUCGACCCAGGUAGAAAGUCCCAACUCGCAUUACAACUAGGCGUGCCACCUAGGCAAGUAGCGACAUGGUAUCAGAACAGACGUGCACGUGACAAGAAUCAGAGUCUCGAGAUUGAUCACAAAAUUUUGCAGUUAAGACUCGAAAAUAUUUUAUCGCACAAUGCUAAGUUGCAAGAAGAAGUAGCGAGGCUUAAGGACGAGUUAAAUAAGGUUCAAGAAAUGUUACAAACCUUCAACUCUUCAAUUUCGAGCUCGUCUGAUGAAGUUGGAAGCACCAAUUUGAUUCAUAGCUCCAAGAAUCAUUUGGAUAUGGAGCCCUAUGCUUCUUUUAUCCGUGACGCAGGCCAGUUUGGGCCAAUAGAAGGGGAUGACUUAUUUGCUUGAUCUUGGCUUACUUGGAAAUCUACUUCCAUUAAAUUUAAAAAUAUCAGAAACACUUCAUUUUCAUUAGUGUAUAUAUAUGUGAAAUGAUUGGCUUGUAAUGCAUCAGAAUCGAUUGUCUGUUGACAGCCUUUUCCGAUGGAAUAAUAUUCCAAUGAGAGAUGAUAUGUAAACUACUCUUGAUAGAGGUAAUACUAAGAAAAAAUGCUUUAAGUACAGAUUAUCUCCCUGUGAUUUGCUGUUGCUAAAAACUAUUUUUAACAGCAGUUAAUUCCUAUGAGACAGUUGUGUUUUCUGUAGAAAAUCUGUUAAAAUAAUUUGUACUUGAAGAAUAAUUCACUACUACUCUGGGACAGUGUUCUAAAGAUUAUCAAAGACCCAGAUUUCCCUAAUCUUCC